rnacentral:rRNA from 1 species
GACGAACGCUGGCGGCGUGCUUAACACAUGCAAGUCGAACGGAAAGGCCCUGCUUUUGUGGGGUGCUCGAGUGGCGAACGGGUGAGUAACACGUGAGUAACCUGCCCUUGACUUUGGGAUAACUUCAGGAAACUGGGGCUAAUACCGGAUAGGAGCUCCUGCUGCAUGGUGGGGGUUGGAAAGUUUCGGCGUUUGGGGAUGGACUCGCGGCUUAUCAGCUUGUUGGUGGGGUAGUGGCUUACCAAGGCUUUGACGGGUAGCCGGCCUGAGAGGGUUACCGGCCACAUUGGGACUGAGAUACGGCCCAGACUCCUACGGGAGGCAGCAGUGGGGAAUAUUGCACAAUGGGCGGAAGCCUGAUGCAGCAACGCCGCGUGCGGGAUGACGGCCUUCGGGUUGUAAACCGCUUUCGCCUGUGACGAAGCGUGAGUGACGGUAAUGGGUAAAGAAGCACCGGCUAACUACGUG